UUUCAUUUAUUUCUAUUACACAUGGGGAGCAAAAAUAUAAGAAAGUCCUCUCUUGUAUAAUGGCACACAUAGAACCAUUCAUUUUUUUCUUUUUUCUCCAGGCAGGAUCUUGCUCUGUUGCCCAGUCUGGAGUGUAGUGGCACAGUCUUGGCUCACUGCAGCCUCAACUCUUGAGUUCAAGUGAUCUUCCCACCUCUGGCUCCUGAGUAGCUGGGACUGUAGGCACAUGCUAUCAUGCCUGGCUAAUUAAAAAAAAAAUUUUUUUUUUUAGAGACGGAGGGCUCACUGUGUUGCCCAGGCUGGUCUUGACCUCCUGGCCUCAAGCAGUCCUCCCACCGCAGCCUCCCAGAUUGCUGGGAUUAUAGGCAUGAGCCAUGGCGCCUGGCUCCGAGAACCAUUCUGAUGUGUCUGGAUCCACCCCAGCGAUGUUCUUUCGUGAGUGUGGUGUCCACACCGUUCCCUACACUGUCAUGAUUAAGCCAUUGCCCCAUAAUCUCAAAAGGUUUGGGGGAACAAGCCCUUAUAUGGUACCUGAUUUUGCAUGUUUGGAGUGUGUCUGAGCAGUGUGCUAUGGAAAUUUUUAAGAGUUGCUAUUAAUAAAAGAUGUUCGAAAUAUCCUUGAAAUUUUUGGGGUUUGGAAUCAGCACAUAGCAAGAAUCUCUGUACAGAUAAGCAAAGCAGAAUGAGAACAAGCCUUCUAGGGCCUCAACACAAAAUGUCAUGCUCCUCACAUUCUUUCUGAAUAAACCGUCUCGCCCACUCCUCUCUUACUGGGACCAGCAGUGUCCACCGAACGAUGUUCAGCCAUCAUUUGUACAAACCCAGCACUGCUGAGAGGGCCAGGACGGUCUGUCCUCUUCUGACCUUUGUGUAACUCACAGAAGAAGCUACAGCAUGCGGGAUAAGUGUUUGAGAACAAACAGGUCUCUAUAACUUUGUAGCUUAAGGGUUUUGCUUAUUUGCUUGGUAGUUUGGUCGUUUCUAGGUUCUCUGGAUUGUCUAUUAGGAACCCAGUGAGUUUCAGGUUGUCCUGAGGAGGAUUGCAGGAAAUGAUUGUGUGGAAGAGAAUCUGGGAAAACAAAUUAAGUACAUUAGCAUCUAGCAGGAAAACAUGAUGUUAAUGAGACAUUUAUUUAAAUUGCUCAUUUUCCAAUAUGAAAUCAGUACUUGGAGAAGAAGCUAUUUGCUGGUGACAUUAAGUUGCAGACACAUUACAGAUAUUUGACAUUGUAGAUUGAAUUCUGGGUGGGCCCAGAGCCUUCCAAAGGUUUUACAUUGGGCACAGGGGCUGUCUGCUGAUGGAUCGAGGGUGGUGACUGUAUUUUUGUGUGACUCCCUUAGGGCUGAGAAGUACAAAAGCGGAGGAAGUCAGUUUCAUUUUUUAGCGUUAUUUUUCAUUUGCAUGAGCAGAGGCCGUGGAUGUAGGCUUUAUAAGCCAGUCCUGUUGAUGCUGUGGAUGGUCUGCUUUAAUUGUCUUCACCCUGCGCCUCACUCAAAUAAUCACUUCCAGGGAGAGGGCAUUUAAAACCAAGGAGGGCCAGAGGGCUGGAAUAACUUGUUUUGAUAGUUUCUCAGUAUCCGCUGCUGGAGUGCCUGGAAGCGUGACCGUCUUUCAGGAGUCAAGAACAAAGAAGUGAUUUCUCCAGGGAUAAGAAGACACUGGGGAGCCAUCGGAGGGUUUUAAUGAAGGGAGCAACAUGAUCAAGAUUAACUUUUGAAGAUUAUUGUGGCAGAACUGAGAAGAAUGGACUCGGGGGCCAGGACUCAAUGUAUGUAGGGAGAAUAGUGAGGAGGCCAUUGGAAGAAUCUGGUGGAGAAAUGAAGAAGCAACAUAUUAACACAGAAGCUCUGGAGUUGGGAUGGAAGAAACAGGUAUGAGGGUGUGAACACAGUGGAAUCUGUAGGACUUAGGGGUUUGGAAGGAAUGGGGAGAGCAGGGAGGGAGAAGGAAGGUUCCAGGAGGGCUGCUGAGUCUCUGACAUGGAUGCCUGACGAGUCUCUGACGUGGAUGCCUGGGUGGAUGAUGACCCCAUUCACUGAGAACAGAAAUACCAGAGCAGGAAGGCUGGUGAAGAGUCCUGAUCUGGACAUGCUGAACUUGGGGGUUGGGAGGAUGCCCUGGUAGAGAGGUCCGGUUGACUGUCCAAGUCUGGAACUCAGCUGUGAUCUGGACUUGCUGAAUGGUAAAGUUUUUCAGACACAGCAUGUAAGAAAAAAGUCCUGGCCAGGCGUCAUGGCUCACACCUGUAAUCCCAGCACUUUGGGAGGCUGAGGCAGGCAGAUCACGAGGUCAGGAGAUCGAGACCAUCCUCGCUAAUACUGCGAAACCCUGUCUCUACUAAAAAUACAAAAAAAAAUUAGUCGGAUAUGUUGGUGGGCGCCUGUAGUCCCAGCUACUCAGGAGACCGAGGCAGGAGGAUGGGUGUGAACCCGGGAGGCGGAGCUUGAAGUGAGCCCAGAUCGCGCCACUGCACUCCAGCCUGAGCGACAGAGCGAGACUCCAUCUCAAAAAAAAAAAAAAGAAAAAAGAAAAAGUCUUUUAAUGAUUUUCAUGACUAAGUCAUUGUAGACGGGAUCCCAAAUAGACUGCCUUAAAUUCCAGCAUCUUUGUUGAUUUCCACACUAUUUUUGCUUAUUUCCUGACCGUUUGUUGAUUUCCACACUAUUUGUGUUUGUUUCCUGGCCAUUGGUUUAUUUCCACACUAUUUUCCAUGGAAGUAGGCCCAUUUGAAUCCUAGCCGCUGGACCACCAGGGAACUGCUAAGCUGGCCCAUUGGAAAGACUGCCUGCCCCCCUUUAUGCUGAAUUUAUUGUAGGCUGAGAAAUUUAUUUAUUGCACUGGACUGAAGUAAUGUAGCUAACAUGUCCUUAAGGAUGUCUUUGUACUUGCUCUGGAAAUUGUUCCAAAAUGAAUUUUCUACUUGAUCAGUAGAUAUUAAAUGAAGCUCAGAGGGAAACAUUCUGAUAAACAUGGAGGUAGGCUGUUGCUCUGCAGCUGUGAGGACCGGCAGCCUCGCUCUGGCAUCAGCGGCUGGAUCUAGAAAAUUCAGCACAAGCUACUCCAGACAGAACAGUUAGUUGUGAUCCCACAACAGAGUAUUUUAUGCAGUAUGGAAUAAACAUCAUCGGUGUUAUUCUCCUUGGGUUGGAUUACAGAGUUUAUGAUUUCUGUGGCAUUAUUUAUUUCGAGGGCAGGCACUGCUGAAAUCUCAUUUCAAAACUUGACUGGCACGGUGGUUCACACCUGUAAGGCAGCACUUUGGGAGGCUGCUGUGGGUGGGUCACUUGAGGUCAAGAGUUUGAGACCAUCCUGGCCGAGGUGAUGAAACCCCAUCUCUAUUCAAACUACAAAAAUUAGCUGAGCGUUGUGGCGCACACCUAUAAUCACAGCUACUUGGGAGGCUGAGGCAGGAGAAUUGCUUGAACCCAGGAGGUGGAGGUUGCAGUGAACCGAGAUCGUGCCAUUGCACUCCAGCCUGGGUAACAAGAGCAAAACUCCAUCUCAAAAAAAAAAAAAAUACAAUAAUUUCAAGGCAGCACUUAAAGUACUUUUGCAGGAGUAGAAAGGCAAAUAUAUCAACAGUCUACAUUUAAAUGAGAGAUGAAGAGAGAGGGGGAUGCAUAGAUUGGAAAGUGGGGGCUGAGAGAAGCAAACCAGCUGUGUUUGGAGCAGCCCGUUUACUAAUAGUCGGGAAAACUGAGGCUCAGUUUGGUGGAAGGGUUACUGUCUGAAUGAAACAUGGCACCAGAAUUCAAUAUGCUGUUCUGAUGCCUGCUUUGUAGGCUGCAGAGAUUCUCUUGACUUGGGGAAGCAACCCUGGCAGGAACUGAUUUGAAUUGGCAUGUUUUCAUCUAUCUGGGUACGCUGAGGAGUCUCAGAUGAUGGUCUCUGCCUCUUUCUCUCCAAAUCAGUGUUUCUCAGCCCUGGCUGCACCUUAAAAUCACCUAGGAAGCUCUUAAAAUCAUACUGAUUAGCCGGGCAUGGUGAGUGGUUUAUGCUUGUAAUUGCAGCACUUUGGGAGGCUGAGGCAGGAGGAUUGUCUGAGGCCAGGAGUUCGAGACCAGCCUGGGCACCAUAGUGAGACUCUGUCUCUAUAAAACAAUUAAAAAACUAGUCAGGUGUGGUGGUUGCCAGUAGUCCUGGCUACUCUGGAGGCUGAGGUGGGAGGAUUGCUUGAGCCGAGGAGUUUGAGGCUGUACUCCAGUUUGGGUGACAGACUGAGACACAUCCAGUUUGAGUGACAGACUGAGACACCAUCUCUAAAAAAAAAAAAAAAAAAAAAAGGAAAAAACAAAAA